rnacentral:rRNA from 1 species
UACGAGGGGGGCAAGCGUUGUUCGGAAUUAUUGGGCGUAAAGGGCGCGUAGGCGGUUCGGUAAGUCUCAAGUGAAAUCUAUGGGCUCAACCCAUAGUCUGCUUGAGAAACUGCCGGGCUUGAGUCCGGUAGGGGCAGAGGGAAUUCCCGGUGGAGCGGUGAAAUGCGUAGAGAUCGGGAAGAACGCCAAGGGCGAAGGCACUCUGCUAGGCCUGAUUUCGCGACUGACACUCAGGGA